UCGCCUACGGGGCGCAGCAGUUAGGAAUAUUGGGCAAUGGAGGAAACUCUGACCCAGCAACGCCGCGUGAAGGAAGAAGGUUUUCGGAUUGUAAACUUCUGAUCUGUGGGACGAAGAAAGUGACGGUACCACAGGAGAAAGCCACGGCUAACUACGUGCCAGCAGCCGCGGUAAUACGUAGGAUGCGAGCGUUAUCCGGAUUUAUUGGGUUUAAAGGGUGCGUAGGCGGAAUGCCAAGUCAGCGGUAAAAUCGCGGGGCUCAACCUCGCUCCGCCGUUGAAACUGGCGUUCUUGAGUGGGCGAGA
rnacentral:rRNA from 1 species